rnacentral:rRNA from 1 species
GACGAACGCUGGCGGCGUGCUUAACACAUGCCAGUCGAACGGAAAGGCCCUGCUUUUGUGGGGUGCUCGAGUGGCGAACGGGUGAGUAACACGUGAGUAACCUGCCCUUGACUUUGGGAUAACUUCAGGAAACUGGGGCUAAUACCGGAUAGGAGCUCCUGCUGCAUGGUGGGGGUUGGAAAGUUUCGGCGGUUGGGGAUGGACUCGCGGCUUAUCAGCUUGCUGGUGGGGUAGUGGCUUACCAAGGCUUUGACGGGUAGCCGGCCUGAGAGGGUGACCGGCCACAUUGGGACUGAGAUACGGCCCAGUCUCCUACGGGAGGCAGCAGUGGGGAAUAUUGCACAGUGGGCGGAAGCCUGAUGCAGCAACGCCGCGUGCGGGAUGACGGCCUUUGGGUUGUAAACCGCUUUCGCCUGUGACGAAGCGUGAGUGACGGUAAUGGGUAAAGAAGCACCGGCUAACUACGUG